rnacentral:rRNA from 1 species
GCAGCAUUCAGUUGCUUGCAACUGGGAUGGCGACCGGCGCACGGGUGAGUAACACGUAUCCACCUGCCGAUAACUCGGGGAUAGCCUUUCGAAAGAAAGAUUAAUACCCGAUGGCACCGCAUGGUUAAAGAAUUUCGGUUAUCGAUGGGGAUGCGUUCCAUUAGGCAGUUGGUGAGGUAACGGCUCACCAAACCUUCGAUGGAUAGGGGUUCUGAGAGGAAGGUCCCCCACAUUGGAACUGAGACACGGUCCAAACUCCUACGGGAGGCAGCAGUGAGGAAUAUUGGUCAAUGGGCGCAGGCCUGAACCAGCCAAGUAGCGUGAAGGAUGACUGCCUAUGGGUUGUAAACUUCUUUUAUAUGGGAAUAAGUUUUCCACGUGUGGAAUUUUGUAUGUACCAUAUGAAUAAGGAUCGGCUAACUCCGUGCCAGCAGCCGCGGUAAUACGGAGGAUCCGAGCGUUAUCCGGAUUUAUUGGGUUUAAAGGGAGCGUAGGUGGACAGUUAAGUCAGUUGUGAAAGUUUGCGGCUCAACCGUAAAAUUGCAGUUGAUACUGGCUGUCUUGAGUACAGUAGAGGUGGGCGGAAUUCGUGGUGUAGCGGUGAAAUGCUUAGAUAUCACGAAGAACUCCGAUUGCGAAGGCAGCUCACUGGACUGCAACUGACACUGAUGCUCGAAAGUGUGGGUAUCAAACAGGAUUAGAUACCCUGGUAGUCCACACAGUAAACGAUGAAUACUCGCUGUUUG